CGCCUCCACACCAGGCAGCCUCCGGCCCGCACGGGGCGGGGGAACCGGGAGGGGCCCGGGAGGAGGAGUGUCUGCCCGAGUUUCCCCGGUUGACUUUUUAAUUUGGGAACGAGAUGCCCAAGGCGGUGACUAGCCCUGCGCUCAGCGGCGGAGGCGUCCGGAGUUCUCUGCGCAGAGAGCAAACGAUCUUUGCACAUGCCCUCCCCGCUUCCUGAAAUGCCCUUCCCCAGACCGGGUGCACGGCAGACUGUAAUUAUUCAGGGCCCGGCUCAGGAAUCACUUCUACAGUCAUUGUCCACCAAGAUUACAGCAAACACGAUGCCAACUCUAGCAGCACCAAGCUUUGCACUAAAGGAGGAUUUUUAACUUUUGUCUCUGAAAGGUCUCAGCAAUGCCAAGCAUUUUGUUGGCCCCGGGAAGCACACAUUAGGAAAAUAUUUAUGAGAUUGUGUUAAGUGAAAAAAAAAAACUAGAAUGUGUAAUUGUAUCCAUGCUAUGCUUUUGACGUUAUAAAGUUAAGUGUGCCUGUGGGCAAAAACAGAAUUUGACCAAAUAAAAGCAGCUGUUUGGAGGGUAA